AUUGAACGCUGGCGGCAGGCCUAACACAUGCAAGUCGAGCGAGCGGCGGACGGGUGAGUAAUUUAUGGGUAUCUGCCUGCUGGAGGGGGAUAACUACUGGAAACUGUAGCUAAUACCGCAUACCAUCAGAUGAACCCAUAUGGGAUUAGCUGAGAGUUGAGGUAAGGGCUCACCUAGACGACGAUCCCUAGCUGGUCUGAUAGGAUGAUCAGCCACACUGGGAAUGAGACACGGCCCAGACUCCUACGGGAGGCAGCAUGGGGGAAUAGUGCACAAUGGGCGCAAGCCUGAUGCAGCCAUGCCGCGUGUAUGAAGAAGGCCUUCGGGUUGUAAAGUACUUUCAGUCGGGAGGCGUUACCGACAGAAGAAGCACCGGCUAACUCCGUGCCAGCAGCCGCGGUAAUUC
rnacentral:rRNA from 1 species